rnacentral:rRNA from 1 species
UCUGCUUGGUGUGUCUCUAUCUAUCCGUCUCUCCCCUUCCCUUAUCCGCCCGCCCUGCUCCGGUUUUGUCUGGUUGGUUUGGGAUCGCGUGGAGUGGCAGGUACCUCCGCCGCGAUACUCGGGAGCGGCACCAGUGGCGCAGCUGCACCGUCGCUAACCCGCCUCCCCUCCGCCUACCGCCGGUCUAGCCUGCUAGGGCUACAGAGCGGCCUCAGCAGCAGCGGCCGCCGCCGCCAGCCGCCGCUCUAGACCCCCUGAGAGCUCCUCGACGACGACCGCACGCGGCAUUCAGCGGUGCCGUGGAGCUCGACCCUCAGCCACCGCAGCCUCCACGUCAGCGCGUCGGGGAGGCGGCGGCGCGCGGAGUGCGGGUGGUCGACGGCGGAGGCAAAGGCGGAGGAAGUGGCAGCAAAGCGGCGGCCGCGGCUGCACCUGCCUCCGCCCCUUGGACUGGGUUUGCGCCGGCACAGGCUGCGCACCCACCUACUCGAGUCCUUCAACGCCCAGCGGCUCGAGGCGGCGCUCCAGCUCGCUAUGCUAGAGAGCUAGCCCAGUAACGUUAGUUUCCACUUUGCCGACUUCCUCCUUGCCCUCUCCUCGGAGAGGCCGCUCUGGUGCGGCCGCAACUUCCUACUUGCCCUCUGUCCCUUGCUCAGCGGCCUCCUCCGGCCGCCACUCUUGCCGGAGAGGCCGCUCCGCAGGCGGGCCAGUACGUUCCUCAGGUUGAGGAGUCUAGACUUCGGUGGCGGCCCCGUGCUGAGACCGCCACGGCGGCGGCUGCCGCUACGCCUCCACUUCCUACUCGGCCGGCGGCCGCUCUACCGGCGCUUCCUACUCCGGAGGCCGCUCAGCCGCCGGCCCAGCUUCCUUCGGCUGCGCCACUUCCUCUCGUCGCUGCACGUCUCGAGCCGGUCGGGCAGGGCAUUUGCCGCAGCGGCCGACGCCUUCCAUCCGCCACCGCUGCACCGAAGGUGCAGCCGCGGGCACGGGGAGGGGCGGCGCCACCGGCUCGGCGAGGAGCGGAAGGAGGUCAGCCAGGCCUGGUCGUUCAGGCCGCGGCACAAGCUCGCCGCCGAGCUCUCGGUCCUCUCGCCGUUCAUGUUCCCGUGGUAGUCCGCGGUGCACCUGGACCUCUACUAGUCUAGGUCCGACCUUAGGCCACCCCGGCGACCGCCCGGCCUGUCACGCACGAUGCGCAGUCGGAGGCUCAAGAUGGCCCUGGACGACGACGAUACGCGGUUGCGAGAGCAGAAGAAGGGCGCACCGAGCGGUCUCGUGCGGCGGCGCUGGUCCUGAGCGCGCGAGCAGAGGUUCGCGUAGAGGCGCUGAGAGGUCUCCCUGCCGGAUCCCUGCCGCCCCUUUCGACGACGGGACCAGCCACCACCGAGGAGCCGCCUGCCGCGGUUCUUCCGGUUCCGCCUACGGCUCCAGCGGCCAAGCGAGGAGCUCUUCCGGCGCGGCUAGUAACAAACGGCCUUCGCCUCGAGGUAACGCUUCCGACGACGACGAUUGUUCCUCUUUCACCUCUUCCUCCUGUGCCUACUUCUACUCCUCAAGCUGCUCCCUUUCUUCUUCCCUUCGCGGUUCCUGUUUCGGUCCCCAUACUCCUGGUUGUUCCCAGCCCGAGGACAGUCCUUGCGUCGAGGUUUAGUCUUUUGCCCCUUCCGAAGCCUCUCACGACGUCGACUGCUUUCCUGCUUCUUUAGACUGUUCUACCCACCGUCGCCGUCGCCACCGUUCCGCCGCCGUCGUCGUCCACCGCAGUAGUUCUUCGCCUUACGCCACCUGAAGGACUUCGCCUACUUCGUCUUGAGUCACGGCAGUUGCCUCUCUCACAGCAACGAUCUCUGUGACUUUGAGAGACGCUGUCUUGUCUUCUUCCGACGGUUCCGACUACCGGCCUUUCUCGGCCCGUCGAGGAGGCCGAGGUUCUUCCGACGGCUCUGUCGCAGUCCUCCCUCCUCUUCGCAACCGGCCGGCGGCUUUGCCCGGCGACGCGGAGGCUGCGGAGGUGGUAGGUUCUCCCGCUUCCUGCUGGCCGGCUGCUCCUUCGCGCCCUUUUUCACUCGCUCACCCUCUGUAGUCCUUCGCUGCCUCAGAGUCGACACACAUGUACAACAUCCCAUCCUCGAGGACCCAGAAAACUAAGGUCACAACAUCCUUUACCGCGCUACCUACCCAAGAUCCUCAAAAAGAAAACCUGCCCCCUACAUGCUUUGACUGAACGCGCGCAGAGAGGCGAGCACCCUGAGCCCCUUUGUCACAAGGGGAAGCUUGACAACAGGACAUACAAAACCUGAUCUUAAACCUUCUAAAUAUAUCUCUUUUACGUGACCGCCAUGAACUUGAACUCUU